ACAUAUGGAUUUUAUUUCAUUCCCACAACUCACAAUUAUACUUCACAUUGUCUAUGCAUCAUAUACUUAGAUAUUGAUUACAAAGCAACUAAAUUAAUGGCUAUAUUUUUUAAUUAUGCAGGUGUGUAAUUGGCUCUUCGCAUUUAUUAUGUAAAUGUUGGUAAUUAUGUCUUCUCUGCAUGUAUGUAUGUUAGUAAUUAUACAGGCGUGUUCAAUUGUUUUUGAAUCUGAAUCAAAUCUUUUCAGCUGAAUGAGUCGGCUAGGAUAGACUUGGAUAUGGCGAAAGCGGUUGAAGAGGGGCAUGCCAUUGAAGGGAGGGGAUGAGAUUGGAAUUGCUAUGACCCCUUGGAUCCAAAUGGUAAUGUGACAGCUACCUUCGACAUUCUCCAAUGGACGGUUGAUGGCUGCGUGCUGUUUUACAUUAAAAAUUGGUAAGUGUAUGUGCAUCAUGGGUGUGUUCCAUGGAGACUUGGACAGAUCAGCAGGAGUACAAGUUGCUAGUAGUGCUACUACAUCAAAGAGAAGACGAAAUGACCUUAAUGACAAUGACUAUGAUGCAGCAGAAAGACCCAGUGGAAGUCCUGGAAUUGAUGAUCAAGAGGACCUCCUCCACCUCAACAGCAAAAGGCUUAGGUAAGUAUCUCGUAUAACUCAGUUACAGUUUACUCCAAAUAAAAAUGUCAUCAACUCACACUCACACUCCCACUCCCACUGCAAAUUAGAAAAUAAAAUUAGAAUAGACAUAACUCAUUUCAAAUGAGUCAAAAUUGGUCUAAUUUCAAAUGUACUGUCUAAUUCAUUUACACAAUAGUAGUAAACUGUACUUGUGGUUUUCUAAAAUAUGUGCACUCCCUAUCACCUCUUUCUUCAGUUUUUAGUUUUAUCUCUUUGGUCCCUAAGCAUAUAAUAUAUAUGAUGAAGAUGAAGCAUGGUCUUAUAGUGUUUAGCAGUGAAACUAAUAAAAUUGAAAUUUGGGAUCAAAAUGACACAUAAUGCAUACUUUAGGGAAAAUUUCUGUAUUUUAUAAUUAUUCGGUUAAUUAUUUAGAGGACCGUUUGAAAUUAGACCAAUUUGACUUGGAUUGAAAAUUUUAUAAAUGAAAUUGGCAAAAUUGAA